GAGGGCCAGGGGGCUCCCAAGCCAUGCCUGAAAUCGAUUACAAGUCUUGGAAUUUACCUGAUAAUGAAUCUAUCUCACUUUUUCUUCGCUUCUUGAAGCAGAUGAUGCAGGGUAAGGCCUCCCAAGCCUGCCACAUCAUCCCUGAAAUUGAUGUCUGCAAGUACGAGCCUUCGGAUUUAGCUGAACUCUUGUUCCCCGACUCUCCAUAUCAACCUA